CGAUGAAUUUCGAGUACAUUUCCGAGAACGUCUCUUCUCGCCUCGCGCCCGAUUUCCUGCCAUUUGCAUUCAAUGUUAACGCGGCCGUACAACGAGACUGGCCCACGUGCGCUCGCAUUCGCCAGGCACAGGUAAGUGCAUAAGACGCGCCACCUCCGUCGAAGAUGAUUAAUUGCUUUAGCGCCACUAAUGUAAGUAAACUAAUAUAAGUCAAUCCUUUGAUUUGAUAAGCCUCAGCUAUAUAUAUUUUUUGCAAGUGUGAAAAGCUUUUUUGGAAAGGGGAAAAACGGGAUACGCGCGCGCGCGACAGUGUUUUUUUUGGGGGGGGGGGAGCAUCAUCUUUGACCCGUGAUUUAUGGUGAGAAACGAUCGUCGCUCCUUUCCCACCCUCAAUUCACUAUUGUUACGUCUCGACAGUAUUUUUUGGUUGACACCCUAAGUGGUAUGCCCGCGCAUAAUACACGUCAGGCUCUCUCGUAAGGAUCCCGACGGCAGGAGAGGAGCUCGAUGAUAGCGUCGGACAUCGUUUCCCAUCGAAGCGGAAUCGAUUCUCGAGCUCGACAAAACCAAAAAAAAAAAUGAAAUACUUGUUGAGGAUAAUGUUAUCUCGUUCGUGAAACACAUGCGAUACACUAAAAAACGAGUUACCCCACGGAUAAAAAACAACAGCUGUCGUGAAAAAUGGUAUGAUAACGACGAUAACCAUAGCCCGCGGCAGAAACACAUAAAAUUUUUGCAAACUGUCGUGCAUCUACGUAGCGAAUCAGAUUUGUUUUAAUGAUACAACAAAAAUUCAAUUGUAUCUCGAAUAUUAAUGCCAUCGCGAUAGUUCAACUGGAGAGGAUAGAACGCCCGUAUCGAAAACAAAAUCGUGCAAUAUAUUAGUUCGCAGCAUCGACGUGCCAUCUGUAAUUUCGAAAUGUAUUUGCGAUGAUGUCUAACUUAAUCUCUUUUAACGAGGUUGCUACGUGGGAGAGGAAGAGAGAGAGAGAGAGGGAGAUCUCGUUGCAAUAUUUAUCGGCGCUCCGUCAUCGAGAUGCAGAUUAUAUCGCGUUAUCGUUCUCGCGCCGACAUAUAAAUUUCGCCGUCGAGGCAUCGAAAAAGGUGCACGUCUAUCAAAAUGCAAAUUACGACGGGCCCGCCACCGGAAAGAUCGUUUUUCCGACUUCUCGUCGCGAAUUAUCCGUUCGAUUCCCGGCGGACGGACGCGCGCGUCAGUGACGAUCGGUCACGAUCGCGUUGACAUAGCGCGCAAUGACUUUUUCUCCCCCUUUUAGAAAAGCCAUUCGUAUCGGCGUACGGUUUUACGGCUCUAUGGUUCUAUCAUCUGAAUUCCGCCAGCAGCGAUCUGUUCCGCCGUUCUCCUCUCCCGCCCUCUGUCUCCCUCGCUCGCUCUCUCGCGCCCCAUCCACCUGCCUCCGUCUCCCUCCCAUUCUCCCUCUCACGUCCCUCCUCGCCCUCGUGGCUGUCGCACGAGACACUACGUAACUAUUGUCCCAUGAAAUUGGACGUCAUUCAUGUACCGGAUGUCCAUGACUCUUUCACGGCGCGCACCGCAUCGAACGCCAUAACGAUCGAGCACGCGAACCAACUACCAGCGGACACCGCUCCUGUGUGAAAGACCUAAUUUCUGAUAUUCCGGAUACAAACGCGCGUAAUCGGAUCCUAUUCACAUCUCAAAAUCGCGAAACCAUGGUGCUACAAUCCAAAAUUAAAUGAA